UUAAGUUCAGCGGGUAGUCCUACCUGAUUUGAGGUCAGAUGUCAAAGUUAUGUUGUCCAGCUUAAGGACGGUUAGAAGCGCAAGCUUAUGUUACUUCACGACCACGGCGCAGAUAAUUAUCACACCGAAGCGAUCCGUUACACUCACGCUAAUACAUUUAAGAGGAGCCGAUUCAACGAGGAACCAGCACGACCUCCAAG
rnacentral:misc_RNA from 1 species